rnacentral:rRNA from 1 species
AUUCCAAUCGAACUCGGAGAUAGCUGGUUCUCCCCGAAAUAGCUUUAGGGCUAGCCUCAUGUUAGAUAUCCGGAGGUAAAGCACUGAAUGGCCUAGCGUCCGAGAGGAUAGCGAAGCCUAUCAAACUAAGAAUGCCGGAGUAUUGAUGUAUGGGAGUCAGACAGUGUGAGAUAAAUCUCAUUGUCAAAAGGGAAACAGCCCAGAUCUACAGCUAAGGUCCCAAAUUGUAUCUAAGUGGAAAACGAUGUGGAAAUACGCAGACAACCAGGAUGUUGGCUCAGAAGCAGCCACUCAUUUAAAGAGUGCGUAAUAGCUCACUGGUCGAGCGUCUCUGCGCGGAAAAUUUAACGGGGCUAAGAUACAAACCGAAGCUUAGGCUGCACUUUUAGUGCGGGGUAGGGGAGCGUUGUGUAAGCGGAGAAACAGUAGCGAAAGCGGCUGUGGAGUUUACAGAAGUGAGAAUGCCGGAAUGAGUAGCGCGAAUGAUGUGAGAAUCAUCAUGGCCGGAAACCUCAGGUUUUUGGAGGAAGGUUCGUCCGCUCCAAGUUAGGCGGGAGCUAAGGUGAGGCCGAAAGGCGUAGCCGAUGCACAGACGGUAGAGAUUCCGUCCCCACCGAAAGAUUUAAGCGCAGGGACACUUUUAGAAGGUCGGAGCCAGGUGUUGGUUCUGGUAGAGAUCGAGGGAAAUUUAGUACCGAAGUCCGGCUGGAUAAGAGGCGAGAAAAGCUGCGUGUAUAUCUAAGGUGCCCGUACCGCAAACCGACACAGGUAGGUAGGAAGAAGAUUCUAAGGCCAACGGGAGAAGGGUUGUUAAGGAACUCGGCAAGUUGACCCCGUAACUUCGGAAUAAGGGGUGCUCAUGAAAGUGAGCCGCAGAGAAUAGGCCCAGGCAACUGUUUACCAAAAACACAGGUUUGUGCUAAAUCGAAAGAUGACGUAUACGAGCUGACGCCUGCCCGGUGCUGGAAGGUUAAAAGGAGAUGUGCAAGCAUUGAAUUGAAGCCCCAGUGAACGGCGGCCGUAACUAUAACGGUCCUAAGGUAGCGAAAUUCCUUGUCAGGUAAGUUCUGACCCGCAUGAAAGGCGUAAUGAUCUGGGCACUGUCUCAACAGCCCGCCCGGCGAAAUUGUAGUACCGGUGAAGAUGCCGGUUACCCGCGACAAGACGGAAAGACCCCAUGGAGCUUUACUGUAGCCUAAUAUUGGGUUUCGAUGUUGCAUGCACAGGAUAGAUGGGACACAGGGAAACAAUCGCUUUGGCGGUUGCGGAGUGGCCGUUGGGAUACCAUCCUUGCGAUAUUGGAAUUCUAACCUGCGGCUCUGAAUCGAGUCGGGGGACAUUGUUAGGUGGGCAGUUUGACUGGGGCGGUCGCCUCCUAAAAAGUAACGGAGGCGUUCAAAGGGUCGCUCAGCUUGAACGGAAAUCAAGCAAAAGAGUGCAAACGCAGAAGCGAGCCUAACUGCGAGACUGACGGGUCGAGCAGUAACGAAAGUUGGAGUUAGUGAUCCGGUGGUAUGUGAGUGGAAAUGCCAUCGCUCAACGGAUAAAAGUUACCCUGGGGAUAACAGGCUGAUCUCCCCCAAGAGUCCACAUCGACGGGGAGGUUUGGCACCUCGAUGUCGGCUCAUCGCAUCCUGGGGCUGUAUUCGGUCCCAAGGGUUUGGCUGUUCGCCAAUUAAAGCGGUACGCGAGCUGGGUUCAGAACGUCGUGAGACAGUUCGGUCCCUAUCUGUCGUGGGCGCAGGAUAUUUGAUGGGAGCUGUCCCUAGUACGAGAGGACCGGGACGGACGUACCUCUGGCGCACCAGUUGUUCCGCCAGGAGCAUAGCUGGGCAACUACGUACGGAUCGGAUAAACGCUGAAAGCAUCUAAGCGUGAAGCCGACCCAAAGAUAAGAUAUCCCAUUGUUUUAAACAAGUAAGACCCCUUGAAGACUACAAGGUUGAUAGGCACGAUGUGUAAGUGGAGUGAUCCAUUCAGCAAGCGUGUACUAAUAGGUCGAGGGCUUGACCAC